rnacentral:hammerhead_ribozyme from 1 species
AUUCAUCUGACGAAUCCUAAAUAGGAAGAAACGCGCGUCCUUGAU